rnacentral:rRNA from 1 species
AGAGUUUGAUCAUGGCUCAGAAUUAACGCUGGCGGCAUGCCUAACACAUGCAAGUCGCACGAGAAAGCCCCUUUCGGGGGGCAAGUACAGUGGCGCACGGGUGAGUAACGCGUGGAUAAUCUACCUCUAUCUGGGGGAUAACGUACCGAAAGGUGCGCUAAUACCGCAUAUUCCGGCAGUUUUGCGAAUCAGUCGGUAAAGAUGGCCUCUUCAUGAAAGCUAUCGGGUGGAGAUGAGUCCGCGUCCCAUUAGCUAGUUGGUAGGGUAAUGGCCUACCAAGGCGACGAUGGGUAGCUGGUCUGAGAGGACGAUCAGCCACACUGGAACUGGAACACGGUCCAGACUCCUACGGGAGGCAGCAGUGAGGAAUAUUGCGCAAUGGGGGAAACCCUGACGCAGCGAUGCCGCGUGGGUGAAGAAGGCCUUCGGGUCGUAAAGCCCUGUCAAGCGGGAAGAAUAGCGGCGGGACGAAUAAUCCCGUCGCAUGACGGUACCGCUGAAGGAAGCACCGGCUAACUCCGUGCCAGCAGCCGCGGUAAGACGGAGGGUGCAAGCGUUAUUCGGAUUUAUUGGGCGUAAAGAGCGUGUAGGCGGCCGGUCAAGUCAGAUGUGAAAGCCCAGGGCUUAACCCUGGAAGUGCAUUUGAAACUGGUUGGCUUGAGUUCGGGAGAGGGAAGUGGAAUUCCGGGUGUAGAGGUGAAAUUCGUAGAUAUCCGGAGGAACACCGGUGGCGAAGGCGACUUCCUGGACCGAAACUGACGCUGAGGUGCGAAAGCGUGGGGAGCAAACAGGAUUAGAUACCCUAGUAGUCC